CCUACGGGUGGCUGCAGUGGGGAAUAUUAGACAAUGGGGGGAACCCUGAUCCAGCCAUGCCGCGUGUGUGAAGAAGGCCCUCGGGUUGUAAAGCACUUUCAGUGAGGAAGAACGCCUGGUGGUUAAUACCCAUCAGGAAAGACAUCACUCACAGAAGAAGCACCGGCUAACUCCGUGCCAGCAGCCGCGGUAAUACGGAGGGUGCGAGCGUUAAUCGGAAUUACUGGGCUUAAAGCGCGCGUAGGUGGCUUGAUAAGCCGGUUGUGAAAGCCCCGGGCUCAACCUGGGAACGGCAUCCGGAACUGGCAAGCUAGAGUGCAGGAGAGGAAGGUAGAAUUCCCGGUGGAGCGGUGAAAUGCGUAGAGAUCGGGAGGAAUACCAGUGGCGAAGGCGGCCUUCUGGACUGACACUGACACUGAGGUGCGAAAGCGUGGGUAGCAAACAGGAUUAGAUACCCUGGUAGUC
rnacentral:rRNA from 1 species